rnacentral:rRNA from 1 species
AUUGAACGCUGGCGGUAUGCUUAAGACAUGCAAGUCGAACGGUAACAGGUUAAGCUGACGAGUGGCGGACGAGUGAGUAACGCGUGGGAAUCUACCUUGUAGUGGGGGAUAAGCCAGGGAAACUUGGACUAAUACCGCAUACGCCCUAAGGGGGAAAGGCGCAAGUCGCUAUAAGAUGAGCCCGCGUCUGAUUAGGUAGUUGGUGGGGUAAAGGCCUACCAAGCCGACGAUCAGUAGCUGGUCUGAGAGGAUGAUCAGCCACGUCGGGACUGAGACACGGCCCGGACUCCUACGGGAGGCAGCAGUCGGGAAUAUUGGACAAUGGGGGAAACCCUGAUCCAGCAAUACCGCGUGUGUGAAGAAGGCCUGCG